UCCAGACUCCUACGGGAGGCAGCAGUCGGGAAUAUUGCGCAAUGGAGGAAACUCUGACGCAGUGACGCCGCGUAUAGGAAGAAGGUUUUCGGAUUGUAAACUAUUGUCGUUAGGGAAGAUAAAAGACUGUACCUAAGGAGGAAGCCCCGGCUAACUACGUGCCAGCAGCCGCGGUAAUACGUAGGGGGCAAGCGUUAUCCGGAUUUACUGGGUGUAAAGGGGGCGCAGACGGCGAUGCAAGCCAGGAGUGAAAGCCCGGGGCCCAACCCCGGGACUGCUCUUGGAACUGCGUGGCUGGAGUGCAGGAGGGGCAGGCGGAAUUCCUGGUGUAGCGGUGAAAUGCGUAGAUAUCAGGAGGAACACCGGUGGCGAAGGCGGCCUGCUGGGCUUUAACUGACGCUGAGGCCCGAAAGCGUGGGUAGCAAACAGGAUUAGAUACCCGAGUAA
rnacentral:rRNA from 1 species